GAUGAACGCUGGCGGCGUGCCUAAUACAUGCAAGUCGAGCGGACGGACGAUAAGCUUGCUUCUCUGAUGUUAGCGGCGGACGUGUGAGUAACACGUGGAUAACCUACCUAUAAGACUGAUAUCACUUCGGGAAACCGGAGCUAAUACCAUAUAAUCUUUUGAACCACAUGGUUCAAAGGUAAAAUACGGUCUUGCGGGCACUUAUAGAUGGAUCCGCGCUUCAUUAGCUAGUUGUUAAGUUAACGGCCUACCAAGGCAACUAUGCAUAGCCCACCUGAUAGGGUGAUCGGCCACCUGGGAACGGAGCCACGGUCAAUAGUACUACGGGAGGCAGCAGUAGGGAAUCUUACGCAAUGGGCGAAAGCAUGACGGAGUAACGCCGAGCGAGUGAUGACGGCGUUCGGAGCGUAAAACUCUGUUAUUAGGUAAGAACAUAUGUGUCAGUAGAUGUGCCGAUAUUGACGGUAACUAAUCAGAAAGCACCGGCUAACUACGUG
rnacentral:rRNA from 1 species